rnacentral:rRNA from 1 species
CCGUGGCAAGCUGCGAUAAGCCCAGGGUACCUGCAUGCGAGGGUUGAUCCUGGGAUUGGGAGAAGUGCCUAGUCUUCGGACUAGGCCAGUUGACGCCGGGAAUUGAAGCAUCUUAGUACCGGCAGGAAGAGAAAUCAAACGAGAUGCGGGUAGUAAGGGCGACUGAACCCCGCACAGACCGUCCCGAAUCCCCUACAGUAAUGUAGGUGGAGAGGUGGGGGGGAGCACCCUACUCUUGACUCGAAGUUGGCUGGAAUGCUACACCAAAGAGGGUGAGAGUCCCGUAGAGGUAGAGAGUAGGGGCGAACCAGAGGAGUAGCCUCCCAUGAUUGGGGGGUGAAGAUGGGGGAACUAUCCUCCAAGUCUAAACAUAGUUGGAAGAUCGAUAGCGAAUUAGUACCGCGAGGGAACGCUGAAAAGACCUCCGGGCAGGAGAGUGAAAAGAUCCUGAAACUAGGCGGAGACAGGCAGUCAGGGCAGGAAAGGGUACUUGGGUGAAGCUGAGAGAGGCGACUCUCAAAGCCAACCCAAGGUCACUGUCCUGACAUUCUUCUCGAAGCAAGAGCCAGGGAGUUCUGGGUAGUGGUGAGGCGAAAGCCUGAGCGAAAGCGAAUGCCCGCAGUGAUAAACGAGGGGCAGCCUCUUAACGGGGGUAAAUCACUAUCCAGAGACCCGAAGCCCGUUGCGAACUAAGGGCGCCCAGGGUGAAGCCUAUCUUACAGGUAGGUGAAGGCCCGCAACUAGUGCUGGUAUAUUCCGCUUAGGUGAGGUGCCCUUAGGGGUGAUAGGCCAGUCGAGCCGGGCGAUAGCGGGUUCCCUCCCAAAUGUGUCUCAGCACAGCGUCACCGGAGAGAGCCUGAACGGUAGAGCACUGAUUGAGGAAGCGGGGGAGAAAUCCCUCGCCCCUCUAUCAAACUCCGAAUGUUCAGGCCUCGUAGAUGGUGGCAGUGGGGCUCCUCGGGGUAAGCUUGAGGGCCUAUUGCGGAACGACGCGACGUAGGGUUAAGGACCCUAAAUGUGGGCUAAAAGUGAAUCCAAAAGAGGGAUUCUUUCAUAGACAGCUGGGACGUAGGCUUAGAAGCAGCCAUCGUCUAAGCAACGCGUAAAAGCGGACCAGCCGAGAAAGGAUCUCUCAAAAAUGGACGGGGCUAAGCCCACUUCCGAUACCCUACCGGUGUUCCUAUGGAACACAUCGAGUAGGAGGGUGUCCGGAGUGCUGAGAAGUAGGGCCGUGAGGUCCUAUGGAGCGCUCUGGAAUAAAUAUCCUGGCGACAGUAGCAGCAAACUCAGGUGAGAAUCCUGAGGGGCUGAUAGGGCAAGGUUUCCUUGGCAACGUUCAUCAGCCAAGGGUUAGGCGGUCCUAAGGCGUAUCCUAAUGGGAAUACGCUGAGUAGGGUAACGGGUUAAUAUUCCCGUCCUAGGUGGGUAGGUUUUAGCCUUCUCACUGACGCCUCGGGAUAGGAGGAGCCAGACCGGUCCAAGCACUGAAAUCCCUGGAGUCUCGUAAUGAGGAGAAAGGGAUGAAAGUGUGAUGGGGGAACUCCUUCGACUCCUAGGGCCCAUGAAAAGGUGAGAAGGAACGAUCCCACCUAACCGUACCGAGAACUGGUACAGGUGCCCUAGCUGAAAAGGCUCAGCCCUGCAGGGAGAACCCAGGUAAAGGAACUCGGCAAGUUAGCCCCGUAACUUCGGGAGAAGGGGUGCCUGGAAUUGAGUAAAUUCCAGGUCGCAGUGACAAGGGGGGAGCGACUGUUUACCAAAAACACAGGUCACUGCUAGGCCUAAAGGCUGUGUACAGUGGCCGACGCCUGCUCACUGCCAGUACCCGAAAGCUCCUUACAAGGAGAAUAAGGGCUGGUAAAGAGCGGGGGUAACUCUGACCCUCUUAAGGUAGCGUAAUACCUCGUCGCUUAAUUGGCGACUUGCAUGAAUGGCGUCACGACUCCCCCACUGUCUCUACCUGGGACCCUGUGAACUCACUUCCCGGUGAAGAUGCCGGGGACUCCCAGUGGGAAACGAAGACUCCAUGGAGCUUUACCGCAGCCAGAUGUUUUGUCGUCGGCCUGGCUACAGAGCGUAAGUGGGAGCCGUCGAAGCUGCCUCUCCGGGGGCAGUGGAGGCAACGAUGUAACACCACUUAGCUGGGCUGACGAUGAUUACCUUCGGGGACAGCAUCUGGUGGGCGGUUUGGCUGGGGCGGUACACCCACGAAAAGGUAACAUGGGUGCCCAAAGGUCUGCUCAGACGGGUCAGAAAUCCGUCGUAGAGGGAUAAAGACAAAUGCAGGCCUGACUUCUUCCCUAACAGCGUGGGAAGAAGAGGGGAAACCCGGGCUUAGCGAACAGUAAUAUCCUUGUAGUGGGGGAUUACUCUGUCAGACAAGCUACCCUGGAGGUAACAGGCUCGUCGCGGGCGAGAGUACAUAUCGACCCCGCGGCUUGGUACAUCGCUGUCGGCUUGGGUCAUCCUGGCUGUGUAGGAGCAGCCAAGGGUCGGGUUGUUCAUCCGUUAAAGACCCACAUGAGCUGGGUUCAGUACGUCGCGAGACAGUACGGUAGUAUCUACUGGGAGUGUUGGCCUUUGAGGGGAAAGGACCACUAGUACGAGAGGAACAUGGUCCUGGGGCCUCUGGUGUACCGGUUGUGAAAUGCAUUGCCGGGUAGCUACGCCCUAGAGGAUAAGACCUGAAAGCAUCUAAGGUCGAAGCCUCUCCCAAAACUAGAGGCCAAAGCCCGCCCAUAGCAGAUGGGUUUGAUGGGGGGAAGGUGUAA